GUAACAUUUCCCAGCGCUGCCACAGGCGCGUCUCGCCCUGUCCAACGCGGAGCCCGAAGAAUUACUAAGAAACCGAGGUCUGAAGGAGGGAAGAGGUGACGGGCUCGAGGCCACACGGUGGGCCAGGCUGGGCCCGGCUGCACGCCGGCUACCGGGGCCCAGCCCUCUGCACGCCUCCCGCAGCCUCAGUUUCCCUGUCCGUGGUACUGAGGAUGCUCGGGCCUAGAAGUUCAGGGCUGGAGGCCCAGGGACCGUCGAGGGAGGGGCAUCAUCCCCGCCAUGGGGCCGCCGCAACUGCCCAGAGCACAGGCCAAAGACCCCUGAGGCCCCCUCCUCCUUCAGAGCAUGCACGUCGCAAAUUCUCAAUGACUGUUUGGAGGAAUGAAUAAAUGAAUUGUGAACAAAUGGUCUGAAGAUUCCAGAGGCACACCAGAAGACUACAUUUCCUAGCCCCCCACCCCCUUGCAGUGUCUGGGACCAUGUGACUCCUUAAUUAGGUCACUUCUCUCUCCUGGGAGGCCCUCUCUGCCCUCUCUAAGUCUAACUAGUGGCAAAGGAUCUAAGGGAAGAAACCUGGCAGAGUUACUAGUCCCAAGAAGCCUGGGUCCCUGAAUCACCACAUGGAAGUCUACGCGCCCACCACCUGAAUGGACUAAGGUAGCUGCAGGAUGAAGACAACAGCAUCACAAGGAGGAAGCCAGGAUCCCUGUGUUACCACAAGGAGGAGAGAUGCCUAACCAAGACCGUCUGCAAGGAUUUUGUGUGAGCCAGAAGCAGAGCUGUAUGGUGUUCAGCCACUGAGAUUUGAGGGCUGUUUGUUACAGCAGUUGACCUAUCCUGACUGACACAUCACAUCAUUCCUUUCCCCACCAUGUGUCUAACAUGCUACCAAAUUGAAUUUUAAGUAAAUUAGUACUUAUAAAUUAAGUACAAAUGCUUUUCAAAUUCACAUGAAUCUUUGGUAAAUAAAACUGGUUGUAAAAUUAUUGAUAAA
rnacentral:lncRNA from 10 species